UGAUGACGAGACGCUAAGGCGUUGAAGCAGUGUAUGUCAGACUCCCAAGAAAAGCUCGCAAUGUCACAUAUAAAAAAUGCCUGUACCAUAACCGACACAGGUGGGUAGGUAGAGUAUACUAAGGGGCGCGAGAUAACUCUCUCUAAGGAACUCGGCAAAAUGACUCCGUAACUUCGGGAGAAGGAGUGCCUUAUUUAUAAGGUUGCAAUAACAAGAUCCAAGCAACUGUUUAUCAAAAACACAGGUCUCCGCUAAGUCGUAAGACGAUGUAUGGGGGCUGACGCCUGCCCAGUGCCAGAAGGUUAAAGAAGUUGGUUAGUGUAUGCGAAGCUGAUGACUGAAGCCCUGGUGAACGGCGGCCGUAACUAUAACGGUCCUAAGGUAGCGAAAUUCCUUGUCGGGUAAGUUCCGACCCGCACGAAAGGCGUAAUGAUUUGGAUACUGUCUCGGAGAGAGGCUCGGUGAAAUAGACUUGUCUGUGAAGAUGCGGACUACCUGCACCAGGACAGAAAGACCCUAUGAAGCUUUACUGUAACUUGAAAUUGGAAUUGGACUUUGCUUGCGCAGUAUAGGUGGGAAGCGUUGAAAAUAUUCUUGCGGGAGUAUUGGAGCUAUCAGUGAGAUACCACUCUUGUAAUGUUAGAUUUCUAACUUUGAACCAUAAUCUGGUCAAAGAACAGUUUCAGGUGGGCAGUUUGACUGGGGCGGUCGCCCCCAAAUGGUAACGGAGGCGUACAAAGGUUUCCUCUGAACGGAUAGAAAUCGUAUCUAGAGUGUAAAGGCAUAAGGAAGCUUGACUGUGAGACCUACAAGUCGAGCAGGGACGAAAGUCGGUCUUAGUGAUCUGACGGUACUGAGUGGAAAGGCCGUCACUCAACGGAUAAAAGUUACUCUAAGGAUAACAGGCUGGUCUCCCCCAAGAGUUCACAUCGACGGGGAGGUUUGGCACCUCGAUGUCGGCUCAUCGCAUCCUGGGGCGGUAGUACGUCCCAAGGGUUGGGCUGUUCGCCCAUGAAAGCGGUACGCGAGCUGGGUUCAGAACGUCGUGAGACAGUUCGGUCCAUAUCCGGUGUAGGCGCUAGAAUAUUGAGAGGAGCCUUCUUUAGUACGAGAGGACCGAGAAGGACACACCGCUGGUGUACCAGUUAUCGUGCCAACGGUAAACGCUGGGUAGCUAUGUGUGGAGUGGAUAACCGCUGAAAGCAUCUAAGUGGGAAGCCCACCUCGAGAUGAGUAUUCUC
rnacentral:rRNA from 1 species